GAGGGUAUAGCCCAAUGGUAGAGUGCUUGCCCAGCAUGCAUGAGGUCCUGGGUUCAAUCCUAGUACCUCUA
rnacentral:tRNA from 1 species